rfam:Gregarina niphandrodes unplaced genomic scaffold scaffold00026, whole genome shotgun sequence.
GCUUCGGUAGCUUAGUGGCAGAGCGUUGGUCUUGUAAACCAAAGGUCGUGGGUCCGAUUCCCAUCCGGAGCU